AUAAUUUUUUUGGUUUCGGCUCAGAGAUCCUUAAAUUAUAUAUGUACAUAUAUAUAUAUAUAUACAUGUUUUCUCACUCUCAUUUCGUAACAAGUCUUGCAGAGAGGGAGCACUUGGCGCUGUCGUCUCUUGAGACGACUCAGAUUGUUCCAAAACUUGGCUAUCUGAAACGGCUUCCACCGCAGGAGUUUCGAUUCCAUUUGGUGUGGUUUCUUCAGAGAAAUGCACAGAGCCACAUCAUCGUCUUCUCCGUCAAUGGAAGUGUAGAUUCAGAUUUGAGAUUGAGAUUUCACACCGACUUCACACCUCUCCAUUGAUCGGAAAUUUUCUAUUCCUCUUCACUGUUUGUUUUGUUUCGUCUUAAUCUCUUCUGUGUCUCUCCCAUGGCGGCGUCUCCUCUCUGCACGUGGCUAGUGGCCGCUUGCAUGUCGGUGACCGCCGACAAUGAGUUUGCGCCGAAACCGUCGAUGGUACAGUGUUCGAAGAGAUUGAGCAGGUGGGGGAAGAGGAGGAGGGUUUUGGCUCAAUGCAGCGACUUCGCUCGAGGUGGGUCGAUUUCGUCGAGCAUUCAGGGUCUGGUGAGCUCGUGUCUGGCUUUCGAGCCCUGCGACCAGUAUUGUAGCUCCAAGGGGCUUCCUUACUCGGCCUUUUUCGGUGACAAUGCUCUCUCGUCGGUUUUCGGAUCCAAGUCUCUUCCUCUGAAUCGAAGGCAGAGGCGAACCAAUCGAGGCUCUCAUUCGGGGGAAACCAUGGCAGUGGCUGUGCAACCUGCAAAGGAGGUCACAACAAAGAAGAAACCUCUUACAGAACAGAGGCGAGUAGUUGUGACAGGGAUGGGGGUCAUGAGCCCAAUUGGUCAUGAACCAGACAGCUUCUACAACAAUCUGCUUGAGGGUGUUAGUGGCAUAAGUGAAAUAGAGAGUUUUGAUUGUUCUCAUUUUCCAACGAGAAUUGCUGGCGAGAUCAAGUCCUUCUCAACAGAUGGAUGGAUUGCACCGAAACUUUCCAAAAGGAUGGACAAGUUCAUGCUAUACAUGCUCACUGCCGGCAAGAAAGCCUUGGCGGAUGGUGGAAUUACAGAAGAUGUAACUGAUGAGUUGGAUAAAUCUAGAUGUGGAGUUUUGAUUGGCUCAGCAAUGGGUGGCAUCAAGGUUUUUAACGAUGCCAUAGAAGCUUUGAGGGUCUCAUAUAGGAAGAUGAACCCUUUCUGUGUACCUUUUGCCACUACAAAUAUGGGCUCUGCCAUGCUUGCAAUGGAUUUGGGGUGGAUGGGCCCAAAUUAUUCAAUAUCUACUGCUUGUGCUACCAGCAACUUCUGUAUAUUGAACGCAUCAAAUCAUAUCAUCAGGGGUGAAGCUGACAUGAUGCUUUGUGGUGGCUCAGAUGCGGCAAUCAUACCUAUUGGUUUGGGAGGUUUUGUUGCUUGUAGAGCACUUUCACAGAGGAACAACGAUCCUACCAAAGCUUCACGUCCUUGGGAUACUAACCGUGAUGGAUUUGUUAUGGGAGAAGGAGCUGGGGUCCUGCUUUUAGAAGAAUUAGAGCAUGCUAAGAAAAGAGGUGCAAAAAUUUAUGCAGAAUUUCUGGGUGGAAGCUUCACUUGUGAUGCCUACCACAUGACUGAGCCUCACCCUGAUGGUGCUGGUGUCAUUCUCUGCAUAGAAAGUGCCUUGGCUCGAUCCGGGGUGUCCAGAGAAGAUGUGAAUUACAUAAAUGCACAUGCUACCUCCACACUUGCUGGAGACUUUAGAGAGUACCAAGCCCUUGUUCGUUGUUUUGGCCAGAAUCCUGAGUUAAAAGUGAACUCUACAAAAUCUAUGAUUGGUCACCUGCUAGGAGCAGCUGGUGCAGUGGAGGCCAUUGCAACAAUACAGGCCAUACGGACAGGGUGGGUUCAUCCAAAUAUCAACCUUGAGAGCCCGGAGGAGGGUGUGGAUACGGAUUUGCUAGUGGGCUCAAAGAAAGAAAGACUCGACAUCAAGGUGGCAUUGUCUAAUUCAUUUGGGUUUGGCGGCCACAAUUCAUCAAUCAUAUUUGCCCCUUACAAAUAGACCUUGUGGCCUACUCUGAACUUGCUCACUUUAAUGAGGCCAAAUGUAUCUAGUUGCUGAGCACCCAGGGAACCUCCUCUGUAUCUCAUCUUUUGUUUGCCAGAAGGGAAGUUAAAAAAUUCAGUGUUAUAAGUCACUUUUUGCUUCUGUUGCUAUCAGCCAAUAUCCUUUUCCUCAUAAAAAUAGCUGUAAUAGGGUUUCUGCAUGUGAUCUAGUUGAUAUGAGCUGUUCACCCACCAGUUCUUGAGUUUGUUUGGAGUGAUUGUGAUUCUGUGAGGUCAGAACCACUUCCUCGUAAAAAUUAGGUAUUUAGUAAUUUUUUUAGAAUUAUUUUUGAAAAUCUAGAGAACGAUUCUAGGUCAAUAAUUUGAUAGGUAAUUCAUUAAGAUAAUGUUUUGUUUUUUUUUGUUUUUGGGUAUAUAAUGUAAUUUAAAAAAAAAAACUUACAAUGGUCCUCCUUAUUUGUAUUUUUGUUGGAUUUAUUUAUUAUAAUCGAGUCCCUUUUUCGAGUUUA